rnacentral:rRNA from 1 species
GUGCCAGCCGCCGCGGUAAUACGUAGGGCGCAAGCGUUAUCCGGAAUUAUUGGGCGUAAAGAGCUCGUAGGCGGUUUGUCGCGUCUGCCGUGAAAGUCCGGGGCUCAACUCCGGAUCUGCGGUGGGUACGGGCAGACUAGAGUGAUGUAGGGGAGACUGGAAUUCCUGGUGUAGCGGUGAAAUGCGCAGAUAUCAGGAGGAACACCGAUGGCGAAGGCAGGUCUCUGGGCAUUAACUGACGCUGAGGAGCGAAAGCAUGGGGAGCGAACAGGAUUAGAAACCCCCGUAGUCC